rnacentral:lncRNA from 1 species
UCGUGGCACGAUCUUGGAAAAUCGUGACACGAUUCAGAAACUUGCUCGUUAAGUAUCACUGAUAAGGACUUGUCAACCUUGGGUCCGUUGCAGAUCGUGACACGAUCUAGGGAAAUCGUGGCACGAUUUCUUCAGGGGAAGACUAGUAUAUAUUGUGUUCUUGUGCUUUUUUGGAGAAAGAGAACUUAAGAGAGCUUGUAUGAGCUUUGAGAGAGAACUUGGAUAACAAAGGAGGGAACCAAUGGGUUGAGUGUCUUUGUUGAGAGUGUCUCUUGGGUUGGGAAAAACAUUGUAAUCACCUUGGGUUUUAGGGUUCAUAGUGUGAGAGUGGGAAAAUACCAAAGGGUAGAAUCUAGGGUUUGUUCAU